rnacentral:rRNA from 1 species
CCGGUGCACUCGCCCGUGGUCAGGCCAGCAUCGGUUCGGGCGGCUGGAUAAAGUCCACUGGAAUGUAGCUCCUCUCGGGGAGUGUUAUAGCCAGCGGUGCCAUGCAGCCCGCCCGGACCGAGGACCGCGCUUCGGCUAGGAUGCUGGCGUAAUGGUUGUAAGCGACCCGUCUUGAAACACGGACCAAGGAGUCUAACAUCUAUGCGAGUGUUUGGGUGUCAAACCCAUGCGCGUAAUGAAAGUGAACGGAGGUGGGAACCCUUUGGGGUGCACCAUCGACCGAUCCUGAUGUCUUCGGAUGGAUUUGAGUAAGAGCAUAGCUGUUGGGACCCGAAAGAUGGUGAACUAUGCCUGAAUAGGGUGAAGCCAGAGGAAACUCUGGUGGAGGCUCGCAGCGGUUCUGACGUGCAAAUCGAUCGUCAAAUUUGGGUAUAGGGGCGAAAGACUAAUCGAACCAUCUGCUACUAGAUGGCAUACGGGCUUGCGUGCCCCGGUAGUCCCCGCACGACGGGGGCGACAUCGUCGGUCUCUCCGGGAACGCCUCUGGGCUACCCGCAGUGAGCCUCGGGCUCAUCCACAGACUAAGUGGCGGUGGCCGUGCCCUGGAGCACGGUUAGGAUAUAGCCGA